UUGACACUUCGUCUUCUCUUACACUCGUAUUAUGCAGUAUAUAGUGCAGUUUUAGUAACUUCUAGUAGUUUUAUCGUCACGAAACUGAACUCAAGUACGUCUCUUAUCGGACUAGGAAAAAGGAACUCACAAAAACGAGGAAGACAUGCGCGACAAAGUCUGCACACUUUGAUUUAAGUAUUUGUCUGAAGCUAUCGCGGCAAUACAAAAUGAUCAUGUUGGUAUGUUUAGCGUUCCUGUUAUCACUUCCGGUGGUGUCGUCUGCAGAGGCAACCAUGACGCCAUGUUGCACACCGGAAAUAUUCACUGCGGAACUGUACGUGCUGUCUGCGGUGCUGACAUCCGGUUCUUCUCAACCAAGUAUCAGUAACCUCUCAGGUUCACAUGUGGAGCGGACUGUAUCUCGGCGCUCUGAAAAUGAGCGUCCACGUGUCCGGUAGUGAAUGUGAACCAGUCUCGCUCCGCUACUAUGGCGAUGUCCCCGGUGUUGGCGUACAACUGUUAACCACCUCACUGUUUCUGGCUGUUACAAGGUACACUUCACUACCUCCUGCCGUCUUCAGCCUUUCAGACGAGUGUUAACAUCUUCCUCAACUUCAAGGGAAAUAAAAUCCUAGGAGUGACCAUUUUAAAUUGAAACAUUAUUUUGUUCUGAUAAAAUAUGACAGAUCUCA